rnacentral:lncRNA from 1 species
CAACUUAGAAAAUGUAAUGCUCUCUCACUGACUAAAAGAAAAAAAAAAAACAGAUUACUAUUUUUCUAUCUAUAGUUACAACUCACUGACAAAGUUGAUACAAAAUGAGGAAGACAACUCAGAUUUUUAGAUCUUGGAGAAUAAAGGAAUUUCCAUUUCAAGUGCUUCCAUUCAUGUGCACAUUCAGUUUAAAAAAUUCUGGUACAAACAAAAAACACCAAAAUAAAAACCAAACAAAAUCCUACCCCCUAAAACACACCCCCAAAGCCCCCAAACAAAAGAUAAACCCUGACGUGAACUGAUCCUACGCGGGUUUCACGUGCUGUGCUCUUUUCUAACCACUGAAUAGUUUUGAAGACCACUCCAAGCAAGUCACACGAAACCACACUUGGUGAACCUUGAAGUUCUAGUUGGCUGUGCAGAGUUCUUCUUUAAAAGACUUUACAUCAC